rnacentral:rRNA from 1 species
UACGUAGGGGGCAAGCGUUGUCCGGAUUUAUUGGGCGUAAAGAGCUCGUAGGCGGCUUGUCGCGUCGUUCGUGAAAACCCACAGCUCAACUGUGGGCUUGCGGGCGAUACGGGCAGGCUAGAGUUCGGUAGGGGAGACUGGAAUUCCUGGUGUAGCGGUGAAAUGCGCAGAUAUCAGGAGGAACACCGGUGGCGAAGGCGGGUCUCUGGGCCGAUACUGACGCUGAGGAGCGAAAGCGUGGGGAGCGAACAGG